ACAAUCAUCGGGAUACACGUAUUUACGUGGGUCUCCGCACGUACCAUCAAACACCUUCACUGUGUGUGUAUUCCUCACAGACGUACUCACAGCAGCUUGACCAUUUCGCAGCUCCCACCUUUCUCCAACCUUUCUUUUUCCAGCAAAUCAGAUUCCAGCCUUUCGACCCUUUUCUCCUCUCCUAUUAUUUUCACCGGAAAUCAUUGCUUUUUUCAUGUUCUUGUACUCUCUCCCUAAUUAUAGAUAUGUACGAUUUGCGCCUGUUAUUUGAUCUUUCUUGAUUGAUCGCGUUGCGUUUAUUAGCUUCUGAUUGUUAAGGAAUAGAUUUGCAGAAACUGGUGAAGUUGAUAAUAGCUUAUGGCUUCCGGAAAUACUCAAUAGAUGAGGGAGGAUUGGUAUUCUGAUGAAGCAUUGGAUUGGAUAUAGUAUUGAUUUGGUUGAUGGAUAAAGUGAAUGUUUUGCUGAAUAUUCGGAUACUGGGCUUGUUUUUUCGGUGUAUUCUGAGUGUUGAUUAAGUAAACUGAAUUUUCUGAAGAUACUAGUCGGAAUUGUAACAAUCAGCCUUUUGCUUUCUGGCAUUCGUUACCGUUGAGAGUUGAAGUGGAUGGUGAGAAUAAAUAAGAAGGUAAAAAUUAUCUGAACGAUCAGUAUUGGAUGUGGCUUAGACUCUACAACUUUAAAAGAGCCAUGAUCUGAUUGAGUUUUGGUGGACUUUAGCAUUUCUGUUGCUCUUAUACUCUAUAGUUGUUUUGUUGACUUUGAAUGGAGUAUCUUCCAGUUGAGGUUGUCGGGAACAUUCUGUCACGGCUUGGGGCUGCCCGAAAUGUGGUGAUUGCAUCUGCAACUUGCAGGAAAUGGCAAGAGGCUUGGAGGAAUCAUCUCCACACUCUUACGUUUAAUUCUAACGAUUGGCCCUUGUAUCAUGAGUUUUCCACAAGUAGACUGGAGAUACUUAUUACACAAACAAUAUUCCAAACCAAAGGACUGCAGUGCCUUUCCAUAAUUAUGGAUGAUGUAGAUGAAUUCUCAGCCGCUCCAGUCAUUGCCUGGCUCAUGUACACUAGAGAAACCUUGCGCCAGCUUCACUAUAAUGUGAGGACGACACCUAACAUUAACAUUCUCGAAAAAUGUGGUAGACAUAAGCUUGAAGCGUUGACAUUGGCUCACAAUACUAUUACGGGGGUUGAACCUAGUUAUCAGAGGUUUCCCUGCCUAAGAUCUCUGUCCCUGAGUUAUGUCAGUAUAUCAGCCUUGGAUCUGAGCCUUCUGCUUACUGCCUGCCCAAAAAUUGAGGUAUUGACCCUAGUCAGCCUAGAUGUUGUCAUGUCAGAUCCACAGGCGGUGAUGGAGUUGACUACUAACUCAUUAAAGCAUAUUUAUGUGGAAGCUAUCAGCUUGGAUAAGUUCAUACUGGAAGCUGAUAGUCUAGAAAAACUGCAUUUGAAAGAUUGUACACUCGAGGUUUUUGAGCUGAUUGGUAAGGGCAUGUUAAGAUUCCUGAAGAUUGAUGAUGUUAGUGUCAUCCAUCUUGAUAUUGGCGAGAAUGCUGAAAAUCUUGAGAUUGUUGAUGUUAGUAAUUUUACAAUCAUGUGGAUAAAGUUCUACCAUAUGAUAUCACGAUCAUCGAAGUUGAGAAAGCUUAGGCUUUGGGGUGUUGUUUUUGACGAUGAGGAUGAGGUUAUCGAUGUAGAGACUAUUUCUUCAUGCUUUCCUUUAUUAAGCCAUCUAGCAUUGAGUUAUGAUCUAAGAGAGACAGCACUACAUGAUGGCUUACAAGGUUCUUUUGUUUUGGAGAAUGUCAUUGUUCUGGAGCUCGGGUGGACAGUAAUUAGUGACCUAUUCUCGACGUGGGUCUCAGCACUUCUUGAAAGGUGCCCUCAUCUCAGGAAUCUGGUCAUCCAUGGUGUUGUUUCAGAAACCAAAACCCAUGAAGAAUGCCACACGUUGGCCAACUUCACAUCAUCUAUCGUAAGACUUAUGAGGAAGUACCUGGACGUAGAAGUUCAAUUUAAAUAUGAAUAGAUAUUGUAGACAUUGGAAUUUGUCAUCCCUAAACUGCAGAAGCAGACUUAUCUAUCUGACAAGCAACCAUGCAUAUUUUAGCCUUACCGAAUGAAAUCUUGAAAAGGGGUACAUGAUACAAAGGAUCACAUGCCGUUUUUGGAGGAGAAGUCACCUAUUUUACUGCGAGUUGAGGUGUAUUUUCCAGAGAUGGUACAACUUGCCGUGGGCCACAGAAACGCCUCUUAUACUGGCCAAGUAAUCUGUUCCAUGAAGGUUUUUUGAUAUAGUAUCUACUUAGCCUUUUGCAGUCCAUGUACUCUUCCUACAUUUGUAAUCUGCAAUUCUUCUUUGAAAUCGUCUCGCAUUUCUUAUGCUUCUAACAAAUGUUUGUCACAUGUCGCGAACUUUGAAUGGUUACCUCAUUACUAUGACAA